rnacentral:rRNA from 1 species
GCGGAGGAAAAGAAACCAACAGGGAUUGCCCCAGUAACGGCGAGUGAAGCGGCAACAGCUCAAAUUUGAAAUCUGGCCCCCCCGCGGGGUCCGAGUUGUAAUUUGAAGAGGAUGCUUCUGGCGAGGCGCCGUCCGAGUUCCCUGGAACGGGACGCCGCAGAGGGUGAGAGCCCCGUACGGUCGGACGCCGAGCCUCUGUGAAGCUCCUUCGACGAGUCGAGUAGUUUGGGAAUGCUGCUCAAAAUGGGAGGUAAACCCCUUCUAAAGCUAAAUACCAGCCAGAGACCGAUAGCGCACAAGUAGAGUGAUCGAAAGAUGAAAAGCACUUUGAAAAGAGAGUUAAAAAGCACGUGAAAUUGUUGAAAGGGAAGCGCUUGCGACCAGACUCGCGCCCGUCGGAUCAGCCGUCGCUCGCGGCGGCGCACUCCGGCGGGCUCGGGCCAGCAUCAGUUCGUUGGGGGGGAGAAAGGCGGCGGGAAUGUGGCUCUACGGAGUGUUAUAGCCCGCCGCGUAAUGCCCCCUGGCGGACUGAGGACCGCGCGUAGCA